GGAAGAUGUAACGGGGCUAAGCCAGUUACCGAAGCUGCGGAUGUGCAAUUUAUUGCACGUGGUAGGAGAGCGUUCUGUAAGCCUGUGAAGGUGGGUUGUGAAGCCUGCUGGAGGUAUCAGAAGUGCGAAUGCUGACAUGAGUAGCGUUAAAGGGGGUGAAAAGCCCCCUCGCCGAAAGCGCAAGGUUUCCUACGCAACGUUCAUCGGCGUAGGGUGAGUCGGCCCCUAAGGUGAGGCAGAGAUGCGUUACUGAUGGGAAACAGGUGAAUAUUCCUGUACCGAUGUGUAGUGCGAUGUGGGGACGGAGAAGGUUAGCUCAGCCAACUGUUGGAUAUGUUGGUUCAAGCGUGUAGUCGUAUCCCUUAGGCAAAUCCGGGGGAAUUAGAUGAGGCGUGAUAACGAGUCUGCUUGCAGACGAAGUGAGUGAUACCCUGCUUCCAAGAAAAGCCACUAAGCUUCAGCUACACACGACCGUACCGCAAACCGACACUGGUGCGCGAGAUGAGUAUCCUAAGGCGCUUGAGAGAACUCUGGAGAAGGAACUCGGCAAAUUGACACCGUAACUUCGGAAGAAGGUGUGCCUUUAGUAGGUGAACCAUUUACUUGGGGAGCCCAAUGAGGCCGCAGAGAAUCGGUGGCUGCAACUGUUUAUUAAAAACACAGCACUCUGCAAAGACGAAAGUCGACGUAUAGGGUGUGACUCCUGCCCGGUGCUGGAAGAUUAAAUGAUGGGGUGCAAGCUCUUGACUGAAGUCCCAGUAAACGGCGGCCGUAACUAUAACGGUCCUAAGGUAGCGAAAUUCCUUGUCGGGUAAGUUCCGACCUGCACGAAUGGAGUAAUGAUGGCCACACUGUCUCCUCCAGAGACUCAGCGAAGUUGAAAUGUUUGUGAUGAUGCAAUCUCCCCGCGGAAAGACGGAAAGACCCCAUGAACCUUUACUGUAGCUUUACAUUGGACUUUGAACAGAUCAGUGUAGGAUAGGUGGGAGGCUUUGAAACCAGGACGCUAGUUUUGGUGGAGCCAACGUUGUAAUACCACCCUGGUGUGUUUGAGGUUCUAACCUUGGCCCGUUAUCCGGGUCGGGGACAGUGUAUGGUGGGCAGUUUGACUGGGGCGGUCUCCUCCCAAAGUGUAACGGAGGAGUUCGAAGGUACGCUAAAUACGGUCGGAAAUCGUGUUGAUAGUGCAUUGGCAUAAGCGUGCUUGACUGCGAGACUGACAAGUCGAGCAGGUACGAAAGUAGGACAAAGUGAUCCGGUGGUUCUUUAUGGAAGGGCCAUCGCUCAACGGAUAAAAGGUACUCUGGGGAUAACAGGCUGAUACCGCCCAAGAGUUCAUAUCGACGGCG
rnacentral:rRNA from 1 species